rnacentral:lncRNA from 10 species
AAUCAUAGCUAUGUAGACAUAACAUAAAGCAGCUCAUCACCUGGCUCUCAGCCACUAUUGUUUGUGAGGUGUAUAAAUAUAACACUGAUACUGUGAAAGAGCUGCUGAAUAAAGCCGUGUCUCAUCUACCUGCUGUCUCCCAAGUGUUCUUCCAGCUCCCUGCCCCUCAUCAACCCACUCUCCUCAGACCUCAGCUGGGGCUUGAACCUGAUAAUUGGUGUAGUCAUCAGGAUGAGAUUUAGAAGUGGUGGUGCCCCUCUUGUGACAGCAUUUGGCAGUGUGCAGUUGGGCCAUCAAUAAAUCCAAGGUCCAAGGGCCGGAAUUGUCUGCCAAAUUCUUGGGAGUUAUUUGCUCAGGUAAGACAAAGAUCAUACCUGAGGCCAUCAUUGAUAAGAUCUAGGCAUACCUCCGACCUACCACAGUGAGGCAGCUGCAGACUUUUGGGGGCCUCUUGGAGUAUUGACAGGCAUUUGUGCCCCAUUUGGCUCAAACGAUAAAACCGUUGUACCAGUUAACAAAAAAAGGGGGCUAUUAGGGAUUGGGAUGAUGAGGCUGAAACAGACUUUCUGGCCACAAGUGGGCCAUUUGGCAAGCACAGACCUCACAAGUAAUUGAUCAGGGGCGCCCACUUGAACCUGAUGUACAUGGAACCACAGAUGGUUUUGGUUGGGGCCCAUGGCAGUGCAUGGAGCACUUUAGAACACCAGUAGGCUUUUGGUCCCAGCUGUGGAAGGGAGCUGAGCUCCAGUAUUCAUUAAGAGAGAACUAAUUAGCUGCUGCAUAUGCUACUCUUCAGGCCUGUGAGAGCAUGAUGGGACGGGCUACAGCCAUCGUGUGGAUGACUUACCCAAUAGAGGAGUGGGUAUGUUCAUGGGUAAUGACCCCCUGGACUGGAAUGUUACAGACAUUCGCUUUACAGAAGUGGGGUGCCUACUUGGAGCGGCAGAGUACAAUCCCUUAGCAGCAGAUUGUCCUUAGCAGCAGGUAGUCCUAAUGCAAGAUAAGGCCAUGGGGCCUGAGGCACCCCAGACCCUGAGCCAUCCCAGUUUAAGGAAGGGCAUCCUGCCAUUCCUGAUGGGGCAUGGUAUACAGAUGGGUCCAGCCAAGGUGCUGCUGCUGCCUGGACUGCUAUAGCAGUCCAGCCCAGCACCAACACCAUGUGGGUUGAUACUAGGUGUGGACAAAGCAGCCAAAGGGCUGAACUCAGAGUGGUGGGGAUGGUGAUAACCAGGGAGGAGUCACCUAUGGUACUUUGCACCAAUAGCUGGGCAGUCUAUUGAGGUUUAACCUUGUGGUUGACUACCUGGAAAUUACAGAAUUGGCUUAUUUGACCCCAAAUCAGCCCAUUUGGGGUCAACCAUGAGGCAAGACCUCUGGGAAACAGGUAAUCAGAAUGUGUCAAGCCAUAUGCCUUUGGCUACCCCUGGUAAUGAUGAAACAGACUCCUUGACAAAGGUCCGAUGAUUAGAGUCAGCACCUACACGAGAUGUGUCUCCAGAGGUAUGUCUCCAGAUGGAGACAACUGCCCAAUGUAACACAACAAGUGACAGUAGGGCAGGUGCCCUUGACCAGAUGGCAAUGAGAUUACAUUGGGCCAUUGCCAAAAUCGCAGGGCUACACGUAUACACUGAUGGCUGUAGACACGGCCAUUGGCUUAUUGUUCACCUACCCUUGCAGGGUGGCUGGCCAGCAACACACCAUUUGAGCCCUGCAACACUUAUGUGACUUAUAUGGCCAUCCCCUGGCCAUUGAAAGUGAUAGUGGAACACAUUUUACUGGACAGCAGGACUUAUAUGGCCAUCCCUUGGCCAUUGAAAGUGAUAGUGGAACACAUUUUACUGGACAGCAGGUACAACAGUGGGCACAGCAGAUGGACAUACAAUGGGGGUUCCAUGUUCCUUAUAACCCACAAGCUGCUAGCAUGAUUGAGCAAUAUAAUGGACUCCUGAAGAACGGGUUACAUUUGCAUGUUCCCCACCCCUCCUCCCCACCCAUCUUUGUGGGGCUGGAGUUCCAGGUUGGACCUGGUGCUUCAAAUCUUGAAAAUGUGGCCAUGGAAAGGUGGCCCGGCCCCGGUGGAGGCACUGUUACACCAGGCCACUGCCCCCAUCCAACUACAGAUACACACCAAGGAUGACCUCCUCUGACCAGGUAUGGGGACGAAUGGUAAUCUAUUGUUGCCUGCCCCAAUGCCUCCCACAGGUUGGCAUGCUCCAACAACAUUGUGGACUGGGCUCACACCUAUGCUGAGGUGGCCAAUGUCUCCAACUGUUAGAUCUGCACCACCCUUCCAGCAGCAGCUGUGGAUGGCUUGCCUUGGCAUGUGCAUCCAGCUUUUGUGAAGAACUGGACAUGGCUAGAAACUUGGGGUCCCACAGACAAUGGGCGGGAUGCAACAUGGUGAGCUUUGGAUGGGGGUGUCACAAAACCCAUGGCAAGCCUGCCCCCUGGCUGACUCAUAGCAUCCAUGAUGAAUGGGGCUGGCUAAUGGGAGAAAACAUGGUGGCCCCAUUGCAAGUACCACGAUGUAUAGAGCAACACUGGGGUAAGGUCACUGUGGGAUGGUUGCCUGCUGAGACCUGUGCAAACGUAACACAUGCCACCAUGCCAAGGAUGUGGUGGAACAAGCAGCCCUACCAAGGCUGGGCCCCCAUGGACUUUGUGCCUGCUGGGAGUUUAUAGGUCUGUGGGGACAUAGGAUGGCCAUAUCUGCCAGCCAACUAGACUGGACAUUGUACCUGGGAGUGGCCUUCUGUGCCUGCCACUGUGCUUCCCACAUUGCUUAGUCACACACAUAACUGGGAGGUGCUGUGUUCCCAGUUUUUGUGAGUGCAUUGAGCCCCUAGUGGUUCUACCCCUUAGCAAUAACUGUCCCUGGAACAGGUGUCAUCACUGUAGAAAUGCAGGUUACAGCCCUUGCAGAACACAGAGAUUGGGCCCAUGAAUUACACCUGAGCUGCCCUCCUUUUGUUAAUUGAUGAGUUUGAUCAGAUCAGGAAGGUGGUGAUGCAAAACCGGAUGGCCUUAGACAUAGUCACAGCUGCUCAAGGUGGCACCUGUGCCCUUGUAGGGACAGAGUGUUGUACAUUCAUCCCUGACAACCACCAGAACAUAGUGGCAGCUUUGCAGGGGGUGUCAUGUCAUAGGAGAUUAAGGCAAUUGAAUACCUUACUGAUGACCGCCUGCAGAGAUGGUGGGUGUCUCUGGGCUCUGGCCUACACUGGGCUCUUAUAAUCAUAGGUAGCAUAGCAGGAAUAUUAGUAGUAGGUUGUUGCUCUCUUUAUUGUUGCUGUGGCCUCUGGGUCCAGGGUGCUCCCCUAUGUGCACGAGUUCCCAUUAAGAGGACCCCCUUGGCCUAGGGGGCGGAGUGUAAGGAACAUGGCUGUGUUGCUGCCAGGCAGGCAUAGGCCGAGGUAAAAAUCCUGCAUGACACAGUGGGAUUAGAGCACACGCGCGCAAUCCUGUGCCUGAUAUAAUCACAGCUAGGUAGACAUAACACAGAGAAGCUCAUCAUUUGGCUCUCAGCCACUAUCAUUUGUGAGGUGUACAAAUGUAACACUGACACUGUGAAAGAGCUGCUGAAUAAAGCCAUGUCUCAUCUACCUGCUCUCUCUCGAGUGUUCUUCCAGCUCCCUGCCCCCCGCCCCAUCUACCCACACCCCUCUGACCUCAGCUGGGGCUUGAAACUGACAUUUGCUUUAUUGUACUUUGCAGAUACUUAAAAAAAAAACCAAAUUAAAGUUUUGUGGCAACCCUGUGUUGAGCAAGC